UACAGGGGGUGCAAACGUUGCUCGGAAUUAUUGGGCGUAAAGCGCGCGUAGGCGGCUACUUAAGUCGGAUGUGAAAGCCCCUGGCUCAACUGGGGAAGUGCACCCGAAACUGAGUAGCUUGAGUGCAAAAGAGGGCCGCGGAAUUCCCGGUGUAGAGGUGAAAUUCGUAGAUAUCGGGAGGAACACCGGUGGCGAAGGCGGCGGCCUGGGUUGACACUGACGCUGAGGCGCGAAAGCAUGGGGAGCAAACAGG
rnacentral:rRNA from 1 species